UACGUAGGGUGCGAGCGUUAAUCGGAAUUACUGGGCGUAAAGCGUGCGCAGGCGGUGAUGUAAGACAGAUGUGAAAUCCCCGGGCUCAACCUGGGACCUGCAUUUGUGACUGCAUCGCUGGAGUGCGGCAGAGGGGGAUGGAAUUCCGCGUGUAGCAGUGAAAUGCGUAGAUAUGCGGAGGAACACCGAUGGCGAAGGCAAUCCCCUGGGCCUGCACUGACGCUCAUGCACGAAAGCGUGGGAGCAAACAGG
rnacentral:rRNA from 1 species